UGUGUGUAUUGUCAUAUUGUCUAAAUGACCUUGUUUCUCAAUUUGUCUCCAUCUUUUAGAUUGCACAAGAUUUUUCGAUCCUCUACGGAGAGGCUGCACCUAAACUUUUCGAGACGUGGGUUCCUCUUUACGCUGAUAAGAUCAUUCGUCUGGCGAAACACGAAAGGAAACUCUCAGUGCCAGAGGAACAGAUCACUCAGGAUGCCAGGGGAGAAGUAGCCCUGAUGCUGCUGCCUGUCAUGCUCCCCCUGCCUGUUUAUAAACAGGGCAGAAAAUUGGUCCGGGCCAGUAUUGAGGAAUCCAAGAGAGCCUUCAUUGAUGUUAAGCCUGUCGGAACUAACAUGGUGGAGUAUUUGGAGCAAGCAGAAUCAUCCAGGUCGUACCCGUUUGUGCUGCUGCUUGUAGAUGGGAUGCUGUGCUCUCAAGCCUUUGCUGUUAUCUCAGGCAAGGCUAUUGAAACCGAGACGGCUCUCGCAGCUGUGGAUACGUGUUUCAAAAGUUUUUAUGUGUUUGACUUACACUAUCCGAAUGAUUGUACGCCUACUUGGCAAUUUUUCCAGAACGUGGUUUUUGAACUCGAGGGAACUGUUUCCCCAGCAGUGAACUUCCUGAAAACCCAAUUACUUUCUUGCAAGUAGACUGG